AUCACCCAGGGAGGAUUUUGCAUCCAGGACUUUGUCCAGAAACAGCUUCAAGUUCUAGGAGCCAUUGGCUAGGGUUUCUGUCACCCUUCUGGUGCCCUCAACUCACCCAUUUCCUCUUCAGUUCAAGAAAUCACUAUGUCCCUUGGACCUGAUCUCCUCAGUAAUAUCCAUAUCCUCACUAUUUGCUGUCCCUAGGUCGUGACACUGGCACGAUCACCUCCUCUUUAGUAGCUUCCUCCUAGUGGACCUCUCUGUCCUGAAGUCUGUCCCCCGCACUGUCCCCUCUAACACGGACGGUCUUCCUGAAGCCCGGCCCCAAGCUGUUACCUGCCUUGGCCAUCGGCUCACAGGACUCUGCCUGGAACACUCUCCCUCCUGUCUUCUGGGUUUGCGUCUAAUUAUCUCUGGUGUCACACCGUGGUCACCAUGUCCUCCCUCCUGUGCUCUUCCUCAGUAACAGGGUGUUAUGGUUUGAAUCUCAGAUGUUCCCCAAAGUCUCAUAUGUGUGGAACAUGACUGGCUCGGGGGGCACCAGCGUCCUCAGUGGACCUGUCGUCUUGUCCCAGGCUCCUUUCUGUCUGGGCUUCCUGGUCAUCAUGACAGGAGCAGUUUUCUUCCCCCAGGCCACUUCUGCCUUGGAGCCAGCUGACCGUGGACUGAACCCACUGGAAACCACUGUUGGAUCCUUGAAGGCAGAGACCAUGCCUGCCUUGUUUACUUGAUUCACCGCUCAGCUCAUAGAAAACACUCAAUUGUUGUCUGUGGAAGGAAGGAAGAGACCUGGCAUUUGGGAAAUUUGGUCAGCAGUACACACUCAUGUCACCUUGGCUAACCAGCUCCUCAGGGAUGGACAGUGGAACUUCAGAAGAGCUGCUUGGGACUCUCCUGUCCUCACCCAAACCAGGACAAUGCAGUUCUCAUUACCCGUGCUUCUGUGUCUCACCUGAUGCUCUCCAUGACACCAGGAAAAAGGAAGG